CAUUCAAGAGACGGAAGAGCACCAGCGACUUCUCAAACAUGUAGCUGCUAACUCGUGGACUGUGCUUGAUGGUAAAGCUCCGCCAACCAACUCGGCAGCGAGGUCAGCAAGUGACAAAUGCUCCACGUCGGCCAACGAAAGCAGAUGCUUAAUUUGCUCACAAUUUCAGAAUGUGGGCAUCACUGGCUGAGCCAGUAUUCAUUAUCCAUCUUUAAUUGCCGAGUAGAUGAUUAAGAGUCAACCAUAUUACUGUGGAUCUGUCAGUAAGAGCAGGAACCUUCAAGUUCUCUUUCUUCACCUGGAGGAAAGUGUAUGUGUGAAGGGGCUAAGGAAGGAAGUUCUGUUGUAUUGGAAAGAAAGUCUAAACUUGCUGCUGGCAUGAGCGGAAUUGAGGGAGAUCUGGAAAAUAGAUGUAACAAAACGAUUGUCAGUUGGGGGUACAUGUAUAACACCUACAGGAAUAAAAGAAUUGAACCUCUGCCUGGUCAGAACAGAAUUUUGAGGAACUGUAUAGCUGAGAUUAAUGUUAUUGAUGCCAAAGGAGCUGCAAAUCAAUCUGUAAGAUGUAUUUUUGCUGUAUCAGUUAUUUACACUUUAAUUUAUAAUCUCUACUGAACACAAUUUAUUAUGGAUUUAUGUUUAUUUUUGGUUUGAUUGCUGGUGUCAAACUUUAAAAAGUAAGAUAUUGUCCAUUAGUUUCCUCCAUUGGGAUUGUUUGUAAAUUCAGUCCGUUCAUGUUAUUGAUCUCCUCAAGCAUCAUAACGUCUGAAAUAGCAGACAUUCACCUAACUCGCAUUGCUGUUGACAUAUCUGGAUCAUGUUAAGUAACCUCCAGACAUUAUCCAUUGAUCUGCGACCUUUUCUGAACUCCAUCUGGUCCUCCUUAAUGGUGUAGGCAGUACAGUUUCCAGUCUUAGUGCCAAAGUCUUAGAUAGGAUUUUGAAGUCGACAUUCAGAGCGAAAUGGGCCUAUAGGAAGCACAGUCCCUGGGGCCUUCCCUUUUUUAAGAAUGAGAGAGAUGUUCAUCUCUCUUAAAGGUGGUGGGAGGAGGCCACAAUUGUGCGAGUCAUUAAAUGUACUAAGCAUCGCCCCUGACAACACACUUAUAAAUUCCUUGUGGAACUCACUGGAAAGCCCGUCAGUACCAGGCGCCUUUCCAUUCUGGAGCUGCCUCACAGCCUUCUGCACCUCUUGUUCUGACAAUGGGGCACUGAGGAGAGACUCUUGUUCAGGAAUCAUUCCCGGAAGGUCCAAAUUCUUAAAAAAAAAGACUCCAUCCUAACCCGCCCACCCUCAUAGCUUUCAGAUUGGUAUAGUUCAGAGUAAAAUUUCCGAAAUGCUGCAUUAAUCCUUUUUAGGAUCACAGGUUAAAUUUCCAGUGUCCUCCCUAAUUGAGGUAAUGGCUUGGGGGGCACUCCUUUUCCUGGCAAGGUACGCUAAAUACUCGCCUGGCUUACCCCCAUGCUCAAACAGCCUUUGGUUUGCAAAUAUAAGCUCCCUCUUGGCUGUGCGUGUGAGCAUGGAGUUCAGUAUAGACCAAAGCGCUGUGAUCCUCAGCAGUUUAG